rnacentral:lncRNA from 1 species
UAUAUGUAAUCUUGGUUUUCCUGUUCAGGUUGAUGAUCUGGAAGUGGAACUUGAAACUACUAAACAGAGAAACAAAGAGAAUUUGGAGCAAGCUUUGAUGACCGAGAGACAGAGUGUUACCAAGAUGCAGUGGGAUAUGGAAGAACUCAGGCAAAAAACUUUUGAGAUGGAACUGAAGUUAAAGUCAAAAGAGGUAUUGAAAUUUGAAAUAGUUCCAUCUCAAUCACAUUCUUUCCACAAUUAAGCAAGUUCACAUCGAGCGAGUAAUUUAUAUCUAGCAAAGUAACUUACUGACACCUGCAAACUAAUACAGGAUGGGAGUUCAGAUUCUAAGACGUCAGGAAACUCAACAAUCUCUGAGAGCCAUGAGCUGUUACAAGAAAUGGAUGCCACAAAACAGCAACUGGAAGAUCUUUCUAGACGGUAUGUUGAACUGGAGGCAAAAUCAAAGGCAGACAUAAAAGUGCUUGUCAGAGAGGUCAAAUCCCUGAGACGUUCACAUAUGGAAAUGGAAAAGGAACUGACUCGAUCGCUGACAGAGAAGUCUGACACUGAGGUAAAUCUUAAGCUUGUAAAUAAAAAGCAUUAUAUUAUUGCUUGCAUCAUCCGCUUGUGGUAAAUGUAUAUGAUCCUACAGAAAGAACAUCAAAACAUACUGAAACAUGUUUAAUUUUUUC